rnacentral:lncRNA from 10 species
AAUAUAUUGUCAAAGAAACUGUCUGCUUAAGGAAAUAUAACUCUUGCUUUUUUUCUUAAUAUUUAACUAAGGAAAACUAUGAAAAAGUUAUAUAUACACCUGUACACUUUUGAUACUGCUUGUCCUGAAAUUUUACUUAUGUUCACUUCUUUAUGUUGUGGCUUCUGAAGAACAAAACAUUCCGCAAGUUAGAAUUCAUGCACAAUUAGGUCUUGUUGGGUAUAUUAGAAGGGUCAGUGUUUAAUAAAAUCGUUUUCAAAGCCAGACCUUAUCUCUUCUUCCAUGUUCAUGGGUAAAAGCCCAAGUGUCUUAUCAGAGGAUUCCUUUGUCAGGGAAUCUCUGAAUGAAUGAGCUUCUUAUGCAUCCCUGAUGCUUUCUGAUCAAUCUCACUGAACGUCAUUGCAAGUCCUCUGUAGCUGUACCCAAGUCAGCUUUUAAUUUUUAUCCUUUGUCUUCAUCUUUGAUUUAGUUUUGCCAUUUUCGAAAGUCCGUCUUGGUCCAAGAGCCCAUAGUUUCCUGUCUGCCAUUAGUUUCUAAUUUCAUGUCUUACUGAUACAGGUUCAUCUACCCCACUCAGAUUAGCUCUGGAUUCUGGGCUUCAGCUCAGGCCUGUGGUGCUCUUAUUCCUGAGAAGGAUGUUUAGGCAAGGAGAUAAGAAAAGUCAGGUGAUUCCACCAGUACCUACUGUCAGGCCUCUGAGCCUAAGCCAAGCCAUCGCAUCCCCUGUGACUUGCAGGUAUACGCCCAGAUGGCCUGAAGUAACUGAAGAAUCACAAAAGAAGUGAAUAUGCCCUGCCCCAACUUAACUGAUGACAUUCCACCACAAAAGAAGUGUAAAUGGCCGGUCCUUGCCUUAAGUGAUGACAUUACCUUGUGAAAGUCCUUUUCCUGGCUCAUCCUGGCUCAAAAAUCACCCCCACUGAGAACCUUGUGACCCCCACUCCUGCCCGCCAGAGAACAAACCCCCUUUGACUGUAAUUUUCCUUUACCUACCCAAAUCCUAUAAAACGGCCCCAUCCUUAUCUCCCUUCGCUGACUCUUCGGACUCAGCCGGCCUGCACCCAGGUGAAAUAAACAGCCAUGUUGCUCACACAAAGCCUGUUUGGUGGUCUCUUCACAUGGACGCGCAUGAAAUUUGGUGCCGUGACUUGGAUAGGGGGACCUCCCUUGGGAGAUCAAUCCCCCGUCCUCCUGCUCUUUGCUCCAUAAGAAAGAUCCACCUACGACCUCACGUCCUCAGACCGACCAGCCCAAGAAACAUCUCAGCAAUUUCAAAUCCGGUUCCAAACCUUAUGAAUCUACUGUAGCUGAUCUAGAUACACUUCAGGUCUCAGCUGAGAACUCACAUCCUUCUGAAGCUUAUAAGACUUGGGCAAAAUCCAACUUGAAUCAAUUAGUGAAACAGAAUGAAUCCACCUUUUCACCACUUCAAUCAAAUGCCAGUUAGUAGCAAUUAGUACUCACUGAAGAUGAUAUACGAUCCUGAAAAUUCUAAUCAGGACUCUGAUGUAGACCUACAUUAUCAGCACUUCAUGGAUGAUUUCUAAAUUGUAGUAGAAGACUCCUCUGACCCUUGGCUCAAGUAGAUAUAUAUGUAUUGUAAAGAAUAUUUAUGACCAUAUUGUGCAGUGUGUUUAUAAAAAUUGGUCCCUCAGGCUACAAAAGCCUGGAUGUAUAGUCAGUGUACAAGCAAAUUUAAAAUGCCUUACUUUGUAUCUGGGCUCAAGGAAUCCCAACCCAAUCCAGCCCAUUCAUUUACUUUGAUUCAGUGGUUGAUAUUGUGGGUCACAGGAAGUCCUUAUAUUUUUGUAAAAGCUGUCAUUCUCUGGGUCUCAUAUGUAUUGGAAUGCAGCACCAAAUGAGCUGUCAUGUUAGUUCUGCAAGGAUGCUGGUUAUAAGGAGGGAUAAUUUCUGUUAUGGUCACUGCAGGUGCUGAAUUCCUACAGCUGUAUCUGUUUCACUGAUCCUAAGGCUAGCAAACCCUGUGUUCUGCUGGACUGGAGUUGCUAGAAUGGUUCACACACCACUCCUCACAUAGAGGUGCUGUGCCCUUUCCCACAUUUCCCUUCUCCUCACCCCACAUCAAAAACUCACUCAAAGAAGUCACAUUGCACACACCUAGACUCCAGGUCAGACCAUAUCUGCCCAUAGACUUGAGCUUUUUUUGUUAUUGUAGACUUGAUUCUGUUUUCUGGGGUCUUGUUUUUGUUGUUGUUGUUUAACUUCUGGCACCUUCACAGAUCAGGAAGCAAUGUUUGUUCUUCUUCCCCACUGUCCUCCACGGAACUCCUCCAUACUGUCUCCCAGAAGCCUGUUUUUAUGCUUACUCAUUGUAGUUAUUGGUCAGCUCCUUCUCUCAACACUCAAGCAGCAAACUAGAUUCAAAACUAAUUUUUCAUGGCAUUUGAGACUAAAUAGCUAAGUUUGAGUUGGAUAAUCUCACAUACUAUGAUCAACUCUUGCUUUAUCUGCCAGUUCUCCUCACACCAAGUCUUUUUUUCCUUUCUUUUUUUUUUUUUUUUUUUUUUUGAGGCAGGGUCUCACUCUGUCACCCAGGCUGGAGUCUGUCACACGAUCACAGUUCACUGCAGCCUUUACCUACUGGGCUCAAAUGAUCCUCCCACCACAGCCUCCUGAGUAACUGAGACCACAGGCAUCUGCCACCACACCUGUUUUUUUGUUUGGUUGUUUGUUUGUAGAGAUGGCAUUUCACCAUGUUGCCUGGGUUGGUCUCAAACUCCUGAGCUGAAAGUGAUCCUCCCACCUUUGCCUCUCAGUGUUGGGAUUACAGAAAUGAGCCACCACACCUGGCCCACAGACACCUUCUAAUAUGCUUAUGUGCAUGUCCACAUUAGUGAAUGGAAGAAUGCUUUCUUCUGUCUCUAUGUGAGUAUCUACUAUUGGAAUUGUAAAGAUUGGAAUAUAUAUGUGUAUUUGUAAGGAUUUUUUUCUUUAUAGAUAUAUGAGGAUCAUAAAGAAGACAUGCGCAUCUUUUUCUGGGUAACUGUGUCUCUGCUAGAGUGCCUCUGGGCACGCACAUAAAAACUAGCAUGCUUUAAAAUCAUUCUCAUUGAGAAAUGAAACAGAAAACUGAAGGAAGAACAGAGCUUCUGAACAUAGAAUAAGAAAGCAAGCCAGUACUUUGGAGUCAGAUGAUCCUGAGAUCUCCUUCAUCUACUAAGUGCUAUGUAGCCUCAAAAGGUUAUUCAGGGCUUCAAAUUACCUGCAGAUAAAAUAUACAUAUAAUUAUUUGAGGAUGAAAUACUUGGCACAGUGUAGGGAAUCAAUCUAUAUAAUCAAUAAAUGGAAACUUCCUACCUCAGUCAGCAAGUGUUGCUUUUUAAGAUCUUAAAUGCUUAGUGAUCAAAUUUGUAUAAGUCCAUAAAGAUAGCAACUGUUAUUGAGUUCUUAAUAUAUAGGAGGUGUUCUCCUCAGUGCUCCAAAUCUUUUAUAUUGUUUGAUAUAUGUAAAAAUCUAUAAGAUAGGUAUUUCUGUUAUUUGUACUUUGCAAGUGAGUAACCUGAGGCCCAGAGACAGUAACACGAUGAAGAUGACAGAAUAACAAGCAGAGGAGCUGGGUUUGAGCCACAGCAGUCUGGAUCCAGAGCACAUGCACUCUUACACUCUUACUCUAUAUACCAAACUACCUCUUACAAAGGAGGCAGAAUUGACACGACUUGGCAGGAUGCAGAAGAUAGAGAUGCUUUCCUACAGACCCAGUUUUGGUGAAUUAAGGAGUAAAAUAGUCUCUUCUUAGAGAAUAGUGAGUCUGUAUCACACAAGAAUCAGGACUGUUUGAGUAAGAUCUUAGGGGCUCACUCUGUGUUCCUUAAACAAAGGGCUAGCUGGAUUUCAGGAGACUUAUUUUCUCAGCUAGAGAGCAAACCAAACUCAGUUUUUCAUAGGAUCAGUGGUGCCCUCCUUUUGGCAUGUAGCAUCCCAAGGACUUUGUUUCUCAGCUGUCCCUUGAUCAACAGGUGCAGGUUACCUGGCUUUCCCAGACACUCUGUUAGCAAGCAACACCCUUUAAUAGAAAUUAUCUAUGCCAAACAGCCUAUUUAUUUUCUCCUGUGCAGAUCUGUUCUUUGAAUGUCUUCUAUAUGAAGAGAUCCACAGGUGGAAGUAGUAUUAGAAUGAAUCUCACACUCCAUGGUAUGAUGGGAAACUUGGGACUGCUUCUAUUCUCUGCCUUGUUGAUUCCAACCACAGAGAUGAUCCGUUAGACCACACCUGGCCACAUCCUAUGCACAACAGGUGACACUUCUGAAAAUAUCCACAAUGCAUGAGAGUUUAUCAGCAAUAUAAGAAAAGAGAAGACAGUUCUCUUUAGCCACUGAGUGGCUGAAAUGACCUGCUUAUGUGAGCAGGUUGAUGAUGAUGAUAGGACCACAUCACUUUGCAGUAUAAAAACCAUUUCCCCAUCUAUUAUGAUAUUUUAUCUUCAGGGAAUGCAAUGCAAAUUAUUCACAUAUAACAGCUGAGAGAACUAGGACACUAAGAAAUAGAGACAUUUCCAAGUUUGACUGCUAGUAAAUUCAAGAAUCAGCACAAGCCUUCUGAUUAUAUUAUAUCAUGAUGCCUGAGAAAUAUCAGGCAAUUAAUUCAAAACUAUCAACUCAAAAUAUCAGUUUAGAGAUGGGUCCCAGAUAAAUGGGAAUCCUGUGUGCAAUGAAUUAUAAUAUUAGCUAAACAUAAACAAGAUAUACAUAAAUUAUAACUAGUCAGGGCAAAUUGCAACUUAAAUGCUGUAUGUUUCCUCUGUACCAGUAAAAAUAUGAAGGUCAGCUGAACUGAGAAACCUUUCCAUUAGAGCGUAUUUGAAUGCUGUUUAGCAUAAUUCUGCUACCAGCAUUAUUUUUCUUUCCUGUCAGAUUGACUACUAUUUUUUAGUUACCAAGAUAAUUUGAUAGUCAUCUAAUUAAAUAAAAGGAACAAAAAGGAACAAACACAGUACUGUUUUCCCCAAAACCAAUGUUCUUUAAUUGCUCAUUGUUCUUUAUCUUUGUAGUCAAUGUAAAGAGUUGCCUCUAAGUGGACCUUUUUAUAGGUACAUAUCUUCUCAGCCAGGUUCUCCAUCUUGGCACAAAAAGGCUGCAUACACAAAUUGAACAUGAAGUUAAUGCCAAUGGUAUGGACAGUAGUUUUAUAAAAACUGAAGUACUUUAUCAUGCCGUUGUUGCUUGUGUCAUUCUCU